UGGCGAACUCCGGUAGGCUGACACAUCCCUGCCAAUCUCCGGCAGACCCUCCCUCCCAGACCCUCCUACUUCCUGGACAGCAUCCAUGUUGAAGGCAGGGUCUGGGAGGGAGGGUCUGCCGGAGAUUGGCAGGGAUGUGUCAGCUGACCGG